GGCGAACAAAGCUUUUAUGGGUUUGGACGACAUGGGGGUAAGUGAUUAAUGACAAAAUUUUCAUUUUUGGGUGGAGUAACCCUACAUUGACAUUAAUACAAAGAAUAAUGUAGAUAUUGAUAUUAUAAAUCCAAAGUAAUUUUAGUAUAAAGCAUGUGUUUUCCUACAUUUUCUAUUGGUUUUACACCAUUCACUUCCAAAAAUCUGGUCUUCUCCAUUCUGAGUCUGCAUCUAACCUGUGUUAGUUUCAUUUCAGUAAAGCAAGCCAAGAGUGAAGGGGGCAGUGUGGGUCUCAAAACACCUGUCUGCCAGGCUGCGCCCAGUCCCAAGAGACUGACAAUGUCAUAAUUCUUGUUCUUAGCACCGUCAUCGGCAGGAAGGUCAUUAAUGACACAUUCAUGUGUGUGUUUUUACCCUCAGGGCUUUCUACGGUGAAGGGGGCAGGACUCGUGCUGCACACAUAUACACAAACAUGUGUUCCUGUCCGUUCAAAGGGUGUAUGGUGUGGGAAUGGAGAUAGGUCCCUGUGUUCUUCACGGCCCGGGUGGCCGGGUUGUCAGGGACAGGCCCGGGUGAUGAAGCCUGUGAGUAGUUUGCAGAGAUGUUCCACUCAACAAUGGUAAGAAUCGUCAGAUCUUUGCCAUCAGAACAGACUUUGCAAUCCGAGAGAUUCCUCAGGAAUUCUCAGCCGUCUUUCUAUCUCAUGUCUAUGUCGUGGAUCACCUCUGGACAUUUUCCCAAACCCUUUCUGGAAUUAUUUUUUUUUAGUGCUAUAAGAAAAACUGAUGAAGACACACACUGAGAAAGUCUUUGUGGUACCUUUAGCAAGCACAUAUAAUGGAGCAGAUGGUGGCCCUCAUUGGGUGAGUAAUUCAAGACAUUGACUUAUAUCUGGGGGCCCAUGAGCAAAUGGAAAGGCAAAACGGUGUGUGAACAUGGACAUAUGUGUGAGUGUGUGUGGUUUUGGUGUGUCAGAGAGGGUGGGCGGACUACUUAGAUGUAUAGCGGAAAAUGAAAGAGUUAAAUGAAAAUGAGGAGAUAAAGUCAACGAAAAAUGUGCCAUUGAGCUCCUUUGUUGUGUACGCUGGGGAAACCCUGUACAUAGUCUGCAAGGUGUCUACCUACAGUUCCCAUAAGACAUCAAGUUGACAGUUUGACGGUGGAAAUUAGUAUGGAGGCCGUGUCAUUGGUAAAUUACAGGCCGAAAUGAGAUCAUGGGGUCCAGACUUUGUCCGUUGCUCUGAAAUUCCCAUCAUCUUGUUGUCAGAGCUAAAUGGCCUAGAUAGACGGGAGUUGUUGAUGCUUUACGCCCACGUUGCUUGUUGUUGUUAUAACUUACUGUGAGAUCGCUCGAGAAUCACAAACAUAGACUAAGCUUAGCUUGUGUGCUUAAUAUGUGUUUUAAAACCAUAUAUGCUUUCUGGAAGGCAUGAAAUGGCAUGUGGAUGUAGCUUUAGGACUAAGGCAAGACAUUACCGGUGAACAGAGUCCAAUUUUUUAUUAAUAGAUAUCACAAUAUUUUCACCUGUUGAUUAAUCACAGCUAGGGCUGUGAAUCUUUGGGUAGAUAGUUAAUCGAUUCGAUUCAUGAUUUGAUUCAAGAACGAUUUUUGCAAAUUAAGAACGGUUCAAUUCACAAUGAAAUUCGUUUUGAUUCGAUUAACGAUUCAAUUCUGCAUUCUUUAAGUGCAUUCACAGGAUUAUUUAAAUGCUUCCCCUAAAUUCUUUAAAUUCUUGGUCAGGGGGUAAAUUACACAGUAGUCUUUAUGGUUAGAGAACCAUGGGUUAGAAAGAAAAAAAAACACUUUUGUCCAUUGUUAGAUGCUAGUUUAAUAAUGCUAUGGCAUGACAUGGCAUAUAUAGAAAUUUAUGUAAGCCAAGAUUUUAAAAAAGAGCCUUAAAAAUAUCAUGUAUGAUUGUUUCCUAAUGGCAAUUUUAUGAUUGUUUUAUAUACUACAAACAAUUAUUUACAUUUUCUGCACAGAAUUAGGUAGAAAAUAUAUUUUAUAGUUUCUGUACUGUAAUAAAUGAUAUGUCAAUUAGCACUGCAUCAUUCAUACAUUUUACUUAUUUAUUGUGUUUAUUGUCUUAACGUUUCACCAGUUCAUUCUGCUUUUAAUUCAUCUUAGCUGCAGCGAUAGAUGCCUUCGUCCAUAUUAGGCAUUUCCUGGCAAGUCUU